GCUGGGCGUGGGGUUGGGCGCCUGUAAUCCCAGCUACUCCGGAGGCUGAGGCAGGAGAACUGCUUGCACCCAGGAGGUCCAUGGAGGUUGCAGUGGGCCGAGACGGCACCACUGCACUCCAGCCUGGGUGACAGAGCAAGACUCUGUCUCAA
rnacentral:sRNA from 1 species